rnacentral:rRNA from 1 species
UACAGAGGGUGCGAGCGUUAAUCGGAUUUACUGGGCGUAAAGCGUGUGUAGGUGGCUUCCUAAGUCGGUUGUGAAAUCCCUGGGCUCAACCUGGGAAUUGCAGUCGAUACUGGGAAGCUCGAGUUCGGUAGAGGACGGCGGAAUUCCCGGUGUAGCGGUGAAAUGCGUAGAUAUCGGGAGGAACAUCGAUGGCGAAGGCGGCCAGCUGGACCAGCCCUGACGCUGAGGCGCGACAGCGUGGGGAGCAAACAGG